CCCUGAGGAGGACGAGGAGGAGGAGGAAUGAUUCUGCGGGCAGUCUGCCAGAUUGGCAAUUUGAAACGCACUGUCUGUGACGGCUGCUGAGGCUGCUGCGGGGGAGUGAAGGGCUGUCAUGACGAUGACCCCUGGAGCUCUACUAACCCAGGAAUAUAGAAACAUUGCUGACAGAGGAUCCAAGAUGGCCAAAGAGGAACAGCUCCAGAGUGCAGUUCCCAGCAAAAACAAUGCAGAGGGUGAACAGUGAUUCAACUGAACCCAGAAUCUCUCACCUGUUGGAGAUUCAAUCCUUAAACCAUGAGUUAGAAAGCAGCAGAGUGGAAGAAACAGAGAGCCUCUAAAAGUCAACACAAAAGGGGCAACGUAUUAUCUUUCAGAGAAAUCACUCUAUGUUUUUACCCUAAGUUUGUGGCAGAAGAAAGUGAACCCAAGAUGAAACUAGCUCUGAGAAAAAGACCAAAUCUCAUUUUGAUGUGGUCCUUUGUGAAACAUUACAGAGCAGAGCUGUAUCAGAUUUUAGGUAGUAUGUAAAAAGUAGCAUUUUAGGAUGGACUAUGAGAAUAUGUAAGAGUAAAACAAGUGUUCAUUUGGAAAAUAUUAUUAGUGUGACCUUUAUGAAAUAUUUUAUUAGUAGUUUACAACCUAUUCCAAUUGGAGUAUUUAGAAAUAUGUAGGGACAUUUCGAUUAUCAGAAUGUCUGAGAGGCAUUACUUGCAUAUUGUUGGCAACGAUAAAAACUAUAAAUGUCUUUUGGGUACUCCUGGAAAUCCAGCCAAUAAAGAACUGCUUUACACAAAAUGUCAUUAAUACUCUGAGAAAUACAGUGACAUGGAUAUAAUUAUAUUGCCAGGCUAAUCAUAGCCACACUCUUAUAUGUUACCUAGUAUAACUCAGUCUAUAAUGCAGCAGGUACACCUACACCCACCACCUCUAAUUCUACAAGAUGUAUACAGCAUAUAUUUUGAUUUAGGAAGUCAAAAAAGUCCCUUGCAAGAAAAAUCAGAAAAAAUCAAAAUGUCUAAUGGAAGGAAUCUCCCCUUUCUACUGCCUUAUCAGCUAAGAAUGCUUGUUUUUAAUAAAAUAUAUGCAACCAAGAAAACGAACUGGCCAGAGUCAGAGAACCAAGCCUCACCAAGGCCAAAAGGUUUUAAAUAUUACACAGACAUAUCUGUGCAUACAAACACACAGAUAGGUACAUAUAACUUAUUAUUCAAAUCAGCAAGGACUAAGACAGUUUUGCUAUGUUUACUUAAAAAACUUCUCUGAGGAGAAUGUUAAUAAAAAAUGUACAUGAUAAUCCACAGGAAUGAUAUUGAACAUUCUCGAGAUACUGAAUGGUUAUGAGAUGGAUUAUCAUUGCUACAGUGUAAAUAGAAAGACUAGUGAAAAUUUCCCAAGCUGCUAAAGACUUCUCUUUAUCCAGGUGAAAAUGUUUUUAAUUAUUUGUAAAAGUGCUAAUGUGCUCUUUGAUAGCAGGACAGAGGUUUGGACAUUUAUAUCAUCAGGUGGAGAAAGUUAUACCUGACUGGACUAACAGCUGCAACAUAAUUUUUCUGAUUGGCAUUGUGUAGAAUAUAACAACCUAGACAAUUAGAAUGACCUAAUCUUUUUGAUGUGCAUAUUUUAGUAACGAUACAAAUUUUUUUACAACAUUUGAUUCAACAUUUCUCUUAAAGAUUUUCUUUCAAGAUAUUUGAAACAGAUGAUCAGUGACUAGUUAUUAGAAAAUGUACUUAGUAUCUGAAUAGUUUUCAUCAAGAAAGAUUUUGAAAGGUAAUUCGUAUUUUGAAAGUUGUAUAAAUAAAUAAAAGUACUUCUUUUGUUUCCAGGAUCA